AAAUGAUAUCGACUGGAAAUACAUCUUGAAUAGCUGCUUCAGUGCUGCACUGCCAACAUGAAUGUACAGAUCAUGGCAAUAAUGGCGGUGUUGUUGUUGUUUUUCCUUGGCGUGGCUACAGUGUCAGGUGAACCUUGGUACCGUCGUGGUCACGACGGGCGUGAUAAUGACUGGAAUAACGGCUUGGGUGACCGUGAGAACGGUUGGGACAGGAAUGGCUGGGAUUCGAGCCGAUAGGGACGUAGCCUUCGGCGUACAUUUGGAGAGUUUGCAACUUUUUAUAUUGCUACUGUUUUUAAGAAUAAAUAAAAGUUUGCAUUUAUAAAUAA